AACGCUGGCGGCGUGCCUAAUACAUGCAAGACGAGCGAAUGGAUUAAGAGCUUGCUCUUAUGAAGUUAGCGGCGGACGGGUGAGUAACACGUGGGUAACCUGCCCAUAAGACUGGGAUAACUCCGGGAAACCGGGGCUAAUACCGGAUAACAUUUUGAACCGCAUGGUUCGAAAUUGAAAGGCGGCUUCGGCUGUCACUUAUGGAUGGACCCGCGUCGCAUUAGCUAGUUGGUGAGGUAACGGCUCACCAAGGCAACGAUGCGUAGCCGACCUGAGAGGGUGAUCGGCCACACUGGGACUGAGACACGGCCCAGACUCCUACGGGAGGCAGCAGUAGGGAAUCUUCCGCAAUGGACGAAAGUCUGACGGAGCAACGCCGCGUGAGUGAUGAAGGCUUUCGGGUCGUAAAACUCUGUUGUUAGGGAAGAACAAGUGCUAGUUGAAUAAGCUGGCACCUUGACGGUACCUAACCAGAAAGCCACGGCUAACUACGUGCCAGCAGCCGCGGUAAUACGUAGGUGGCAAGCGUUAUCCGGAAUUAUUGGGCGUAAAGCGCGCGCAGGUGGUUUCUUAAGUCUGAUGUGAAAGCCCACGGUUCAACCGUGGAGGGUCAUUGGAAACUGGGAAACUUGAGUGCAGAAGAGGAAAGUG
rnacentral:rRNA from 1 species